rnacentral:rRNA from 1 species
UACGAAGGGGGCUAGCGUUGCUCGGAAUCACUGGGCGUAAAGGGUGCGUAGGCGGGUUUUUAAGUCAGGGGUGAAAUCCUGGAGCUCAACUCCAGAACUGCCUUUGAUACUGAAGAUCUUGAGUCCGGGAGAGGUGAGUGGAACUGCGAGUGUAGAGGUGAAAUUCGUAGAUAUUCGCAAGAACACCAGUGGCGAAGGCGGCUCACUGGCCCGGUACUGACGCUGAGGCACGAAAGCGUGGGGAGCAACAGGG